rnacentral:rRNA from 1 species
CCUACGGGUGGCUGCAGUGGGGGAUAUUGCACAAUGGGGGAAACCCUGAUGCAGCGACGCCGCGUGAAUGAAGACGGGUUUCGGAUUGUAAACUUCUGUUCUUAGUGAAGAAGGAUGACGGUAGCUAAGUAGCAAGCCACGGCUAACUACGUGCCAGCAGCCGCGGUAAUACGUAGGUGGCAAGCGUUGUCCGGAAUUACUGGGUGUAAAGGGGGCGCAGACGGGAAGGCAAGUCAGCUGUGAAAACUACGGGCUUAACUUGGAGACUGCACUUGAAACUGGGUGGCUUGAGUGAAGUAGGGGUAGGCGGAAUUCCGAGUGUAGCGGUGAAAUGCGUAGAUAUUCGGAGGAACACCGGUGGCGAAGGCGGCCAGCUGGGCUGUAACUGACGCUGAGGCUCGAAAGUGUGGGGAGCAAACAGGAUUAGAUACCCUAGUAGUC